rnacentral:rRNA from 1 species
UACGUAGGGUGCGAGCGUUGUCCGGAAUUAUUGGGCGUAAAGGGCUCGUAGGCGGCCUGUCGCGUCUGCUGUGAAAGCCCAGGGCUUAACCCUGGGUCUGCAGUGGAUACGGGCAGGCUCGAGUCCGGCAGGGGAGACUGGAAUUCCUGGUGUAGCGGUGAAAUGCGCAGAUAUCAGGAGGAACACCGGUGGCGAAGGCGGGUCUCUGGGCCGGUACUGACGCUGAGGAGCGAAAGCCAGGGGACCGAACGGG